rnacentral:rRNA from 1 species
UACAGAGGGUGCGAGCGUUGUUCGGAUUUACUGGGCGUAAAGGGUGCGUAGGCGGCUUGUCAAGUCAGUUGUGAAAUCUCCGAGCUUAACUCGGAACGGUCAACUGAUACUGUCAUGCUAGAGUGCAGAAGGGGCAAUCGGAAUUCUUGGUGUAGCGGUGAAAUGCGUAGAUAUCAAGAGGAACACCUGAGGUGAAGACGGGUUGCUGGGCUGACACUGACGCUGAAGCACGAAAGCUAGGGUAGCAAACGGG